rnacentral:rRNA from 1 species
GAUGAACGCUGGCGGCGUGCCUAAUACAUGCAAGUCGAGCGAACAGACGAGGAUCUUGCUCCUCUGACGUUAGCGGCGGACGGGUGAGUAACACGUGGAUAACCUACCUAUCAUACUGGGAUAACUUCGGGAAGCCGGCGCUAAUACCGGAUAAUAUAUUGAACCGCAUGGUUCAAUAGUGACAGUCGGUUUUGCUGUCACUUAUAGAUGGAUCUGCGCCGCAUUAGCUAGUUGGUAAGGUAACGGCUUAUCAAGGCGAGUAGGCGUAGCCGACGUGUGUGGGGGGUCGGCGGCAUUGGAAGGGAGACAGCGUCAUGACUACUGAGAGAGGGAGCAGUAGGGAAUCUGCCGCAACGGGGGAAAGCAUGACAGAGUAGCGGCGCGUGAGUGAUGAAGGUCUUCGGAUCGUAAAACUCUGUUAUUAGUUAAGAACAAAUGUGUAAGUAACUAUGCACGUCUUGACGGUACCGAAUCAGAAAGCCACGGCUAACUACGUG